UGCCUGUUUAUUCAUGGAUGCAACCAGAACCGUGUGCUUUCCAUGGCAGAUUCUGGACUGCAGAGGGAGAUGAACUUCGGGAGGGAUGUGCUAGUGAGCGGCUCCAGAGAAGCCUGUGGAUUGUCUUAUGCAUUACCUCUGACUGACAUGGAUUAAAGAAGAGGUUUGGAAACUGCCAGCGGAAAAGAACCCACAUUCUUAUCCCUGAGUGCAUGGGCACUAAAAAUAGGUCUUGACUCCUUACCUCAUUCAUUGCGCUCAAAAGAUGGGGGGCUGCACACGCAGCCCUCGCUUGCAAAAGCUGUGCCAAGCCCAUUCAGAGUAAGUUGCUUGUGAAA